rnacentral:rRNA from 1 species
GUGGGGAAUCUUGCGCAAUGGGCGAAAGCCUGACGCAGCCAUGCCGCGUGAAUGAUGAAGGUCUUAGGAUUGUAAAAUUCUUUCACCGGGGACGAUAAUGACGGUACCCGGAGAAGAAGCCCCGGCUAACUUCGUGCCAGCAGCCGCGGUAAUACGAAGGGGGCUAGCGUUGCUCGGAAUUACUGGGCGUAAAGGGCGCGUAGGCGGACAGUUUAGUCAGAGGUGAAAGCCCAGGGCUCAACCGUGGAAUUGCCUUUGAUACUGGCUGUCUUGAGUACGGGAGAGGUGAGUGGAACUCCGAGUGUAGAGGUGAAAUUCGUAGAUAUUCGGAAGAACACCAGUGGCGAAGGCGACUCACUGGCCCGUUACUGACGCUGAGGCGCGAAAGCGUGGGGAGCAAACAGGAUUAGAAACCCGUGUAGUCC